rnacentral:rRNA from 1 species
UACGGAGGAUCCAAGCGUUAUCCGGAAUCAUUGGGUUUAAAGGGUCCGGUUAAGGGCGGCCGUUAUAAGUCAGUGGUGAAAGCCCCAAUCGCUCAACGAUGGAACUGCCAUUGAUACUGUAAGGCUUGAAUUAUUGUGAAGUAACUAGAAUAUGUAGUGUAGCGGUGAAAUGCUUAGAUAUUACAUGGAAUACCAAUUGCGAAGGCAGGUUACUAACAAUGGAUUGACGCUGAUGGACGAAAGCGUGGGGAGCGGAACAGGAUUAGAUACCCCGGUAGU